rnacentral:rRNA from 1 species
UACGUAGGGUGCAAGCGUUGUCCGGAAUUAUUGGGCGUAAAGAGCUCGUAGGCGGUUUGUCACGUCGGAUGUGAAAACUCGAGGCUUAACCUCGGGCCUGCAUUCGAUACGGGCUGACUAGAGUUCGGUAGGGGAGACUGGAAUUCCUGGUGUAGCGGUGAAAUGCGCAGAUAUCAGGAGGAACACCGGUGGCGAAGGCGGGUCUCUGGGCCGAUACUGACGCUGAGGAGCGAAAGCGUGGGGAGCGAACAGG